GAGACACACGGCGGGUGCUAACGUCCGUCGUGAAGAGGGAAACAACCCAGACCGCCAGCUAAGGUCCCAAAGUCAUGGUUAAGUGGGAAACGAUGUGGGAAGGCCCAGACAGCCAGGAUGUUGGCUUAGAAGCAGCCAUCAUUUAAAGAAAGCGUAAUAGCUCACUGGUCGAGUCGGCCUGCGCGGAAGAUGUAACGGGGCUAAACCAUGCACCGAAGCUGCGGCAGCGACACUGUGUGUUGUUGGGUAGGGGAGCGUUCUGUAAGCCUGUGAAGGUGUGUCGUGAGGCAUGCUGGAGGUAUCAGAAGUGCGAAUGCUGACAUAAGUAACGAUAAAGCGGGUGAAAAGCCCGCUCGCCGGAAGACCAAGGGUUCCUGUCCAACGUUAAUCGGGGCAGGGUGAGUCGACCCCUAAGGCGAGGCCGAAAGGCGUAGUCGAUGGGAAACGGGUUAAUAUUCCCGUACUUGGUGUUACUGCGAAGGGGGGACGGAGAAGGCUAUGUUGGCCGGGCGACGGUUGUCCCGGUUUAAGCGUGUAGGUGUGUGUUCCAGGUAAAUCCGGUUCACUUUAACACUGAGGCGUGACGACGAGGCACUACGGUGCUGAAGCAACAAAUGCCCUGCUUCCAGGAAAAGCCUCUAAGCAUCAGGUAACAUCAAAUCGUACCCCAAACCGACACAGGUGGUCAGGUAGAGAAUACCAAGGCGCUUGAGAGAACUCGGGUGAAGGAACUAGGCAAAAUGGUGCCGUAACUUCGGGAGAAGGCACGCUGACACGUAGGUGAAGUGAUUUACUCAUGGAGCUGAAGUCAGUCGAAGAUACCAGCUGGCUGCAACUGUUUAUUAAAAACACAGCACUGUGCAAACACGAAAGUGGACGUAUACGGUGUGACGCCUGCCCGGUGCCGGAAGGUUAAUUGAUGGGGUCAGCGCAAGCGAAGCUCCUGAUCGAAGCCCCGGUAAACGGCGGCCGUAACUAUAACGGUCCUAAGGUAGCGAAAUUCCUUGUCGGGUAAGUUCCGACCUGCACGAAUGGCGUAAUGAUGGCCAGGCUGUCUCCACCCGAGACUCAGUGAAAUUGAACUCGCUGUGAAGAUGCAGUGUACCCGCGGCAAGACGGAAAGACCCCGUGAACCUUUACUAUAGCUUGACACUGAACAUUGAGCCUUGAUGUGUAGGAUAGGUGGGAGGCUUUGAAGCGUGGACGCCAGUCUGCGUGGAGCCGACCUUGAAAUACCACCCUUUAAUGUUUGAUGUUCUAACGUGGACCCGUGAUCCGGGUUGCGGACAGUGUCUGGUGGGUAGUUUGACUGGGGCGGUCUCCUCCUAAAGAGUAACGGAGGAGCACGAAGGUUGGCUAAUCCUGGUCGGACAUCAGGAGGUUAGUGCAAUGGCAUAAGCCAGCUUGACUGCGAGCGUGACGGCGCGAGCAGGUGCGAAAGCAGGUCAUAGUGAUCCGGUGGUUCUGAAUGGAAGGGCCAUCGCUCAACGGAUAAAAGGUACUCCGGGGAUAACAGGCUGAUACCGCCCAAGAGUUCAUAUCGACGGCGGUGUUUGGCACCUCGAUGUCGGCUCAUCACAUCCUGGGGCUGAAGUAGGUCCCAAGGGUAUGGCUGUUCGCCAUUUAAAGUGGUACGCGAGCUGGGUUUAGAACGUCGUGAGACAGUUCGGUCCCUAUCUGCCGUGGGCGCUGGAGAACUGAGGGGGGCUGCUCCUAGUACGAGAGGACCGGAGUGGACGCAUCACUGGUGUUCGGGUUGUCAUGCC
rnacentral:rRNA from 1 species